GCAGCUGGAUAGCUCACUUGGUUAGAGUGUGGUGCUGAUAAUGCCAAGGUUGCAGAUUCGAUCCUCGAAUGGAACAGCUGCA